CUCAGAAUGAACGCUGGCGGCGUGCUUAACACAUGCAAGUCGAACGAGAAAGCCGAAAGCUUGCUUUUGGCGAGUAGAGUGGCGCACGGGUGAGUAACGCGUGGGUAAUCUACCUUCGAACCGGGGAUAACACUUCGAAAGGGGUGCUAAUACCGGAUGACAUCCAUAGUGCUUCGGUAUAAUGGAUCAAAGAUGGCCUCUCCAUGGAAGCUGUUGUUCGAAGAUGAGCCCGCGUCCCAUUAGCUUGUUGGUGGGGUAACGGCCCACCAAGGCGACGAUGGGUAGCUGGUCUGAGAGGAUGAUCAGCCACACUGGCACUGACACACGGGCCAGACUCCUACGGGAGGCAGCAGUGAGGAAUUUUGCGCAAUGGGGGAAACCCUGACGCAGCAACGCCGCGUGAGUGAAGAAGGUCUUCGGGUCGUAAAGCUCUGUCGAGUGGGAAGAACCCGCAUCAGGUGAUAAGGCUGAUGCGCUGACGGUACCACUGGAGGAAGCACCGGCUAACUCCGUGCCAGCAGCCGCGGUAAUACGGAGGGUGCAAGCGUUAUUCGGAAUUACUGGGCGUAAAGGGCGCGCAGGCGGCUGAAUAAGUCAGUAGUGAAAGCCCAGGGCUCAACCCUGGAAGAGCUGCUGAAACUGUUUAGCUUGAGUAUGGUAGAGGGAAGCGGAAUUCCUGGUGUAGCGGUGAAAUGCGUAGAUCUCAGGAGGAACACCGGUGGCGAAGGCGGCUUCCUGGACCAAUACUGACGCUGAGGCGCGAAGGCGUGGGUAGCAAACAGGAUUAGAUACCCUGGUAGUCCACGCAGNUAACGGUGAUCACUAGGUGUGGCGGGUAUCGAUACUUGCAGUUGCCGGAGCUAACGCAU
rnacentral:rRNA from 1 species